rnacentral:ncRNA from 2 species
UAACCAUCCCGAGCGGCCGAGAGAUCUGGCUCUAUGACGCCGCAGCAACCACCGUUGAAUUCCCGGAAUUCACGGCCGGUGCUACCGCCAGGACCGAUGGAGA